UACGUAGGUGGCAAGCGUUGUCCGGAUUUACUGGGCGUAAAGCGCGCGCAGGCGGCAUGGCAAGUAAGGUGUGAAAUCUCCCUGCCUAACGGGGAGGGUGCAUUUUAGACUGCCAAGCUAGAGGACGGUAGAGGGGGGUAGAAUUGCUGGUGUAGCGGUGAAAUGCGUAGAUAUCAUUUGGAACGCCAAUGGUGAAAACAGGUAGCUGGGAGUGUGCUGACGCUGAGACACGAAAGCCAGGGGAGCAAACGGG
rnacentral:rRNA from 1 species